AUAACGAACGGUGGCAUAUUGACUGUAAUUUUGAUGACAUGACGUACGGCGGCGGUCGUACCAUCACUACCAACUCCAAUUUAAUAUAUUGGUGGUGAUGGUACGGUCGUUGCGAUACGUCACUUCACCGAAAUUACAAAUCUGCCACCGUUGUCCCCAC